GUUGGCUGACAUCGGUGGCAGUUUCAGAGAGCAGGAUGCAGAGUUUUCCCCACAAAAAGAGCUCAGCUCGGAACAAGUGAUCUGGCGCAGAGGGAUACAAAAAAAAUUGUGGUCGUGUAAUGUGACCUCAGGGGGAAAAAGAAAGCUUUGGAAUGCAGCUCGACACCAGUCCAUCAGAUGCAAAAAUCCAGACUUUUCUCACAUGAUAUCACCCAUGUCCCUCUGGGUUGGUGAGGGGCCCUACCUGCAAAACCUCCCUCAGAG